GAGAUUCCCCCAGUAGCGGCGAGCGAACGGGGAGGAGCCCAGAGCCUGAAUCAGUGUGUGUGUUAGUGGAAGCGUCUGGAAAGGCGCGCGAUACAGGGUGACAGCCCCGUACACAAAAAUGCACAUAUUGUGAGCUCGAUGAGUAGGGCGGGACACGUGGUAUCCUGUCUGAAUAUGGGGGGACCAUCCUCCAAGGCUAAAUACUCCUGACUGACCGAUAGUGAACCAGUACCGUGAGGGAAAGGCGAAAAGAAC
rnacentral:rRNA from 2 species